rnacentral:tRNA from 1 species
GGAGAGAUGGCUGAGUGGUCGAUAGCGGCGCUUUGCUAAAGCGUUAUAGGUGUAAAAGCCUAUCGGGGUUCGAAUCCCCCUCUCUCCGCCA